rnacentral:rRNA from 1 species
GGUUAAGCGACUAAGCGUACACGGUGGAUGCCCUGGCAGUCAGAGGCGAUGAAGGACGUGCUAAUCUGCGAUAAGCGUCGGUAAGGUGAUAUGAACCGUUAUAACCGGCGAUUUCCGAAUGGGGAAACCCAGUGUGUUUCGACACACUAUCAUUAACUGAAUCCAUAGGUUAAUGAGGCGAACCGGGGGAACUGAAACAUCUAAGUACCCCGAGGAAAAGAAAUCAACCGAGAUUCCCCCAGUAGCGGCGAGCGAACGGGGAGCAGCCCAGAGCCUGAAUCAGUGUGUGUGUUAGUGGAAGCGUCUGGAAAGGCGCGCGAUACAGGGUGACAGCCCCGUACACAAAAAUGCACAUACUGUGAGCUCGAUGAGUAGGGCGGGACACGUGGUAUCCUGUCUGAAUAUGGGGGGACCAUCCUCCAAGGCUAAAUACUCCUGACUGACCGAUAGUGAACCAGUACCGUGAGGGAAAGGCGAAAAGAACCCCGGCGAGGGGAGUGAAAAAGAACCUGAAACCGUGUACGUACAAGCAGUGGGAGCACGCUUCGGCGUGUGACUGCGUACCUUUUGUAUAAUGGGUCAGCGACUUAUAUUCUGUAGCAAGGUUAACCGAAUAGGGGAGCCGAAGGGAAACCGAGUCUUAACUGGGCGUUAAGUUGCAGGGUAUAGACCCGAAACCCGGUGAUCUAGCCAUGGGCAGGUUGAAGGUUGGGUAACACUAACUGGAGGACCGAACCGACUAAUGUUGAAAAAUUAGCGGAUGACUUGUGGCUGGGGGUGAAAGGCCAAUCAAACCGGGAGAUAGCUGGUUCUCCCCGAAAGCUAUUUAGGUAGCGCCUCGUGAAUUCAUCUCCGGGGGUAGAGCACUGUUUCGGCAAGGGGGUCAUCCCGACUUACCAACCCGAUGCAAACUGCGAAUACCGGAGAAUGUUAUCACGGGAGACACACGGCGGGUGCUAACGUCCGUCGUGAAGAGGGAAACAACCCAGACCGCCAGCUAAGGUCCCAAAGUCAUGGUUAAGUGGGAAACGAUGUGGGAAGGCCCAGACAGCCAGGAUGUUGGCUUAGAAGCAGCCAUCAUUUAAAGAAAGCGUAAUAGCUCACUGGUCGAGUCGGCCUGCGCGGAAGAUGUAACGGGGCUAAACCAUGCACCGAAGCUGCGGCAGCGACGCUUAUGCGUUGUUGGGUAGGGGAGCGUUCUGUAAGCCUGCGAAGGUGUGCUGUGAGGCAUGCUGGAGGUAUCAGAAGUGCGAAUGCUGACAUAAGUAACGAUAAAGCGGGUGAAAAGCCCGCUCGCCGGAAGACCAAGGGUUCCUGUCCAACGUUAAUCGGGGCAGGGUGAGUCGACCCCUAAGGCGAGGCCGAAAGGCGUAGUCGAUGGGAAACAGGUUAAUAUUCCUGUACUUGGUGUUACUGCGAAGGGGGGACGGAGAAGGCUAUGUUGGCCGGGCGACGGUUGUCCCGGUUUAAGCGUGUAGGCUGGUUUUCCAGGCAAAUCCGGAAAAUCAAGGCUGAGGCGUGAUGACGAGGCACUACGGUGCUGAAGCAACAAAUGCCCUGCUUCCAGGAAAAGCCUCUAAGCAUCAGGUAACAUCAAAUCGUACCCCAAACCGACACAGGUGGUCAGGUAGAGAAUACCAAGGCGCUUGAGAGAACUCGGGUGAAGGAACUAGGCAAAAUGGUGCCGUAACUUCGGGAGAAGGCACGCUGAUAUGUAGGUGAAGCGACUUGCUCGUGGAGCUGAAAUCAGUCGAAGAUACCAGCUGGCUGCAACUGUUUAUUAAAAACACAGCACUGUGCAAACACGAAAGUGGACGUAUACGGUGUGACGCCUGCCCGGUGCCGGAAGGUUAAUUGAUGGGGUCAGCGCAAGCGAAGCUCUUGAUCGAAGCCCCGGUAAACGGCGGCCGUAACUAUAACGGUCCUAAGGUAGCGAAAUUCCUUGUCGGGUAAGUUCCGACCUGCACGAAUGGCGUAAUGAUGGCCAGGCUGUCUCCACCCGAGACUCAGUGAAAUUGAACUCGCUGUGAAGAUGCAGUGUACCCGCGGCAAGACGGAAAGACCCCGUGAACCUUUACUAUAGCUUGACACUGAACAUUGAGCCUUGAUGUGUAGGAUAGGUGGGAGGCUUUGAAGUGUGGACGCCAGUCUGCAUGGAGCCGACCUUGAAAUACCACCCUUUAAUGUUUGAUGUUCUAACGUUGACCCGUAAUCCGGGUUGCGGACAGUGUCUGGUGGGUAGUUUGACUGGGGCGGUCUCCUCCUAAAGAGUAACGGAGGAGCACGAAGGUUGGCUAAUCCUGGUCGGACAUCAGGAGGUUAGUGCAAUGGCAUAAGCCAGCUUGACUGCGAGCGUGACGGCGCGAGCAGGUGCGAAAGCAGGUCAUAGUGAUCCGGUGGUUCUGAAUGGAAGGGCCAUCGCUCAACGGAUAAAAGGUACUCCGGGGAUAACAGGCUGAUACCGCCCAAGAGUUCAUAUCGACGGCGGUGUUUGGCACCUCGAUGUCGGCUCAUCACAUCCUGGGGCUGAAGUAGGUCCCAAGGGUAUGGCUGUUCGCCAUUUAAAGUGGUACGCGAGCUGGGUUUAGAACGUCGUGAGACAGUUCGGUCCCUAUCUGCCGUGGGCGCUGGAGAACUGAGGGGGGCUGCUCCUAGUACGAGAGGACCGGAGUGGACGCAUCACUGGUGUUCGGGUUGUCAUGCCAAUGGCACUGCCCGGUAGCUAAAUGCGGAAGAGAUAAGUGCUGAAAGCAUCUAAGCACGAAACUUGCCCCGAGAUGAGUUCUCCCUGACUCCUUGAGAGUCCUGAAGGAACGUUGAAGACGACGACGUUGAUAGGCCGGGUGUGUAAGCGCAGCGAUGCGUUGAGCUAACCGGUACUAAUGAACCGUGAGGCUUAACCUU